rnacentral:rRNA from 1 species
ACGGGAGGCAGCAGUGAGGAAUAUUGGUCAAUGGGCGAGAGCCUGAACCAGCCAAGUCGCGUGAGGGAAGACGGCCCUAUGGGUUGUAAACCUCUUUUGCCGGGGGAUAAAGUCUGGGAUGCGUCCCAGUUUGCAGGUACCCGGUGAAUAAGGAUCGGCUAACUCCGUGCCAGCAGCCGCGGUAAUACGGAGGAUCCGAGUGUUAUCCGGAUUUAUUGGGUUUAAAGGGUGCGCAGGCGGCACGUUAAGUCAGCGGUGAAAUGCAGGGGCUCAACCCCGGCACUGCCGUUGAAACUGGCGAGCUCGAGUACGGAUGAAGUCGGCGGAAUGUGAUGUGUAGCGGUGAAAUGCUUAGAUAUGUCACAGAACACCGAUUGCGAAGGCAGCUGACUAAUCCGCAACUGACGCUCAGGCACGAAAGCGUGGGGAUCGAACAGGAUUAGAUACCCUGGUA